CCAGCAUGGUGUAGUGGUUUGCACGAUGGACUAUGACUCUGGAGACCAGGUUCAAAUCCUGAAUCAGCUGUG